rnacentral:tRNA from 2 species
GGAGAGGUGGCAGAGCGGUUGAAUGCGCUAGUCUCGAAAACUAGUAUGGCCUCCGGGUCAUCGUGGGUUCGAAUCCCACCCUCUCCG